AUUCCACCGAAUGUUUUUUAGGCUUAUUUGUUUUUAAGGACAGAUAUAGAAAAAAAAAUUAAAACAUUACUGAACCCUAGAGAUGAAUUAAACAGUACUAUGAAACAAGACAGAGUAGAGACUUAAAUACAUGACAUUUCAGAUGUUGCUUUCUGGGCUUUGAGUUAGCACAGGUACAAAACAGGUGUGAUGUGACAUUUGAAUCUGAAGGUAGGCAACCUGCAAGACACCGUUUCCACUAACCUAGGACAAUGUCUUCACAUAGUAGGCACUUACUGCACAUUGGUUGAAUGAAUUAAUUAAUCUCUUGAAGCAGAUCUAAGAAUUCCAUCUCUCUGCCUUCCUCUGGGUUAGAAAUGUCAGAGUGAUGAACAGAACAAAGGUCUGCCCUGGUUAUGGAGAACUUGCAGCAACUGCACAGACUAACAGGACAGCUGGGCCCAGGCCCUGCCUUAGGCAAGCACAACUCAGGCGCCCCCAGGGUGGCCAGCACUCCAGACCAAAGCCAGCCUGCUGUCUCCUGGCAGCAGUUCUACCCGCUAAUAAGGGAAAGGGGAAGAAGGUUUGCCUUGGGCUGAUGAACACUGCUGAUUGAUUCCUCAGCACUCUGGAGGAGGACCAAGGGGGAAAUUGGCAACUGCACUUCCUGAUGCAUGGAAAGCACCUUCCCUGGGAACCUCCCUUAGGCUGUGAUAAGGUCUCUGCUGGGACAUAGUGCCCUCCCUUCCACCUCUCUCACUUUUGACCUCUCUCUCUGCUUGUGUUUGCCUCAUUCUUUUUUUCUCACCUCUGCAAAGGUAACAGACAUGAUGCAGAAAGCCCUCUUUGAUUUCCUGAAGCACAGGUUUGAU
rnacentral:lncRNA from 1 species